AUAAUGGGUCAGCGACUUAUAUUCUGUAGCAAGGUUAACCGAAUAGGGGAGCCGAAGGGAAACCGAGUCUUAACUGGGCGUUAAGUUGCAGGGUAUAGACCCGAAACCCGGUGAUCUAGCCAUGGGCAGGUUGAAGGUUGGGUAACACUAACUGGAGGACCGAACCGACUAAUGUUGAAAAAUUAGCGGAUGACUUGUGGCUGGGGGUGAAAGGCCAAUCAAACCGGGAGAUAGCUGGUUCUCCCCGAAAGCUAUUUAGGUAGCGCCUCGUGAAUUCAUCUCCGGGGGUAGAGCACUGUUUCGGCAAGGGGGUCAUCCCGACUUACCAACCCGAUGCAAACUGCGAAUACCGGAGAAUGUUAUCACGGGAGACACACGGCGGGUGCUAACGUCCGUCGUGAAGAGGGAAACAACCCAGACCGCCAGCUAAGGUCCCAAAGUCAUGGUUAAGUGGGAAACGAUGUGGGAAGGCCCAGACAGCCAGGAUGUUGGCUUAGAAGCAGCCAUCAUUUAAAGAAAGCGUAAUAGCUCACUGGUCGAGUCGGCCUGCGCGGAAGAUGUAACGGGGCUAAACCAUGCACCGAAGCUGCGGCAGCGACGCUUAUGCGUUGUUGGGUAGGGGAGCGUUCUGUAAGCCUGUGAAGGUGUACUGUGAGGUAUGCUGGAGGUAUCAGAAGUGCGAAUGCUGACAUAAGUAACGAUAAAGCGGGUGAAAAGCCCGCUCGCCGGAAGACCAAGGGUUCCUGUCCAACGUUAAUCGGGGCAGGGUGAGUCGACCCCUAAGGCGAGGCCGAAAGGCGUAGUCGAUGGGAAACAGGUUAAUAUUCCUGUACUUGGUGUUACUGCGAAGGGGGGACGGAGAAGGCUAUGUUGGCCGGGCGACGGUUGUCCCGGUUUAAGCGUGUAGGCUGGUUUUCCAGGCAAAUCCGGAAAAUCAAGGCUGAGGCGUGAUGACGAGGCACUACGGUGCUGAAGCAACAAAUGCCCUGCUUCCAGGAAAAGCCUCUAAGCAUCAGGUAACAUCAAAUCGUACCCCAAACCGACACAGGUGGUCAGGUAGAGAAUACCAAGGCGCUUGAGAGAACUCGGGUGAAGGAACUAGGCAAAAUGGUGCCGUAAC
rnacentral:rRNA from 1 species